rnacentral:rRNA from 1 species
UAAAGGUGAGUGCGGCGCACAGCUCAGUAACGCGUGGCUAACCUGCCCUUGGGACGGGGACACCCCCGGGAAACUGGGGUUAAUCCCCGAUAGGCGAAGACCUCUGGAAUGAGUCUCCACCCAAAGGGUGCUUACACUAUGCUUGUAAGUAUCGCCCAAGGAUGGGGCCGCGACCGAUCAGGUUGUUGGUGAGGUAAUGGCUCACCAAACCUUUUACCGGUGCGGGCCGUGGGAGCGGGAGCCCGGAGAUGGGCACUGAGACAAGGGCCCAUGCCCUACGGGGCGCACCAGUCGCGAAAACUUUGCAAUACACGAAAGUGUGACAGGGCUAUCCCGACUGCCAUCCGCUGAGGAAGGCUUUUACCCAGUUUACAACGCUGGGAGAAUAAGGAGAGGGCAAGACUGGUGUCAGCCGCCGCGGUAAUACCAGCUCUUCG